UUCUUCCGCCCAAGACACACGGACAGGGAGAGACAGAGAGUGAGCGAGAGACUGAGGGAGAGAGAGAGAUGCACAGAGAGAGAGAGAUCGGGAGACAGAGAGAGACCGAGAGAUCGGGAGAGAGGUAGCCGGAGGGGGAAGAGAACCGGCGAGCCCGUGACCCAGGGGAGGCCGAUCCUCCAUGGAUCGACGCCGACGACCCGAGUUCUGGCCGAUUCUACUUGUGGGUCGACGAUUGAUGGAGCCUGGACCGUGACCCGUGAACUUAGCCGAAUCGUGACCCGAAACACCCAAAAACCCGAUCCUCCAAGAUCGGUGACCUGAGCCGAAAUCCGGCGACCUUUCCGGCGGAUUUUCUGGAUAACACAGUAAGACGGAGUUAUUUCUUUGUAAUGGCGUAGAACUCGCUAAAAGCAAUAGUCAUUGUGGAUCGACCAAACCUUUACUUUGUAUAGUAUAUUUCUUAUUGAAAUUCAUGGUGUUGUAAAAGAUUUAUUAUUAGACAUGAAUAAUAUAAUAAGAAGUUACAAUU